rnacentral:rRNA from 1 species
AGCGAACGCUGGCGGCAGGCCUAACACAUGCAAGUCGAACGAACCUUUCGGGGUUAGUGGCGGACGGGUGAGUAACACGUGGGAACGUGCCUUUAGGUUCGGAAUAACUCAGGGAAACUUGUGCUAAUACCGAAUGUGCCCUUCGGGGGAAAGCUUUAUCGCCUUUAGAGCGGCCCGCGUCUGAUUAGCUAGUUGGUUGAGGUAAUGGCUCACCAAGGCGACGAUCAGUAGCUGGUCUGAGAGGAUGAUCAGCCCCAUUGGGACUGAGACACGGCCCAAACUCCUUCGGGAGGCAGCAGUGGGGAAUCUUGCGCAAUGGGCGAAAGCCUGACGCAGCCAUGCCGCGUGAAUGAUGAAGGUCUUAGGAUUGUAAAAUUCUUUCACCGGGGACGAUAAUGACGGUACCCGGAGAAGAAGCCCCGGCUAACUUCGUG